rnacentral:rRNA from 1 species
GGGGAAUCUUGCACAAUGGGGGAAACCCUGAUGCAGCGACGCCGCGUGGGCGAUGAAGGUCUUCGGAUCGUAAAGCCCUUUCGACAGGAACGAUUAUGACGGUACCUGGAGAAGAAGCUGCGGCUAACUACGUGCCAGCAGCCGCGGUAAUACGUAGGCAGCGAGCGUUGUUCGGAAUUACUGGGCGUAAAGAGUGUGUAGGCGGUGCGGUAAGUUUGGUGUGAAAUCUCCCGGCUUAACUGGGAGGGUGCGCUAAAGACUGCCGUGCUAGAGUGUGGGAGAGGAAAGCGGAAUUCCUGGUGUAGCGGUGAAAUGCGUAGAUAUCAGGAGGAACACCUGCGGUGUAGACGGCUUUCUGGACCAUAACUGACGCUGAGACACGAAAGCGUGGGUAGCAAAC